rnacentral:rRNA from 1 species
GAUACCCUAUUAUUAGAAACGUUAAUUUUGAACUAAAGUUAUUAUGAGUUAUGAUCUUUAAAGUUAAAAAAUUUGGCGGUAUUUUAGUCUGUUCAGAGGAACCUGUUUUUUAAUUGAUAGUCCACGAUUAUUGAAACUUUUUCUUUAAAUUUGUAUAUCGUCGUUAAUAAAAAUUUUGGGAGAACUUUAAUUUUUGAGAUUUCUUAUUUGGUAAUAAUUCCGAUCAAGGGGCAGUUUAUGAAAAAGUUAAAAUGGGUUACCUUAUUAUUAGAUGUGGGUUUUAAUUUUAAAAGUGAUCAUAAAGUGGAUUUGAUAGUAAAUUGUUUAUUUUAAAGGGUUGAUUUAGCCCUAAAAUAUGUACACAUCGCC